rnacentral:rRNA from 1 species
AUUGAACGCUGGCGGCAGGCUUAACACAUGCAAGUCGAACGAGUGGCGGACGGGUGAGUAAUGCUUGGGAAUCUAGCUUAUGGAGGGGGAUAACUACGGGAAACUGUAGCUAAUACCGCGUACCAUAGGAUGAGCCCAAGUGGGAUUAGGUAGUUGGUGAGGUAAAGGCUCACCAAGCCGACGAUCUCUAGCCGGUCUGAGAGGAUGAACGGCCACACUGGGACUGAGACACGGCCCAGACUCCUACGGGAGGCAGCAGUAGGGAAUCUUCGGCAAUGGACGAAAGUUGACCGAGCAACGCCGCGUGUAUGAAGAAGGCCUUCGGGUUGUAAAGUUCUUUCGGUAGCGAGGCGUUAACUACAGAAGAAGCACCGGCUAACUCCGUGCCAGCAGCCGCGGUAAUAC